rfam:Cyberlindnera jadinii NRRL Y-1542 unplaced genomic scaffold CYBJAscaffold_21, whole genome shotgun sequence.
UUCCUCGUGGCCCAAUGGUCACGGCGUCUGGCUACGAUUCAGUAGUUACUUCUGAAACCAGAAGAUUCCAGGUUCGACUCCUGGCGGGGAAG